rnacentral:lncRNA from 1 species
AAGUGGAUCAACUAGUGUCCAUACACUAUUGAUCUCCAUAGACUUCAUCUCAAACUUCAUGGCCUCAAGCCAAUUUUGAGAGUUGGGCCUUUGUAUGGCUUCCAUAUAUGUGAUUGGAUCUUCAUCAUUCUCAUCAAAUUUGAUGGGAUCACCGUUCUAGACCAAGAAAUCAUAGUAUCUGUCUGACUGAUACGAUACUCUAAC